CGUUUGGUCAUCUAUUCCGCAUGCUCGUCAUUAAACUAAUUAAGGCUAUUAUUAGAUUAUAACUUGUCAGGUCGUUGUCCCCUAAUUACAGAGUUGGAUUCUGUCCUCAUCAUCCCGCUCUGUCUAGUAGCUCUGGAUUUCCUUCCUUGGGGCAGACUUCUACUCUUUGGCUCCGCUCUGCUAAGUAGCUCCGCCUUCUGGCGAAUUGUCUCUGGCGUGUGGCUCCGCGCUCUAGCUCCAAUAGCUUAGCUCUGACUCUGGAUCUGGCGAUUUGGCUCUCGCUCUGACUCUAACGACUUAGCUCUGACUCUGGAUCUGGCGACUUGGCUCUGGCUCUCACUUUAAUGACUUAGCUCUGGUAGCUAUGCUCUGGCAACUUGGCUCUGGCCCUCUGCUCUGGAAGCUCUGCUCUGGUUAGCUCUGGCUCUGGCAGCUCUGCUCUGGAAGCUUUGCUCUGGCAUCUCUGCUCUGGUUAGCUCUGGCUCUGGCAUCUCUGCUCUGGCUAGCUCUGGCAUCUCUGCUCUGGCAGCUCUGCUCUGGCAACUCUGCUCUGGCAGCUCUGCUCUGGAAGCUUUGCUCUGCCAACUCUGCUCUGGUUAGCUAUGCUCUGGACUUUUCCCUCUGCCUAUUUCUCACAGCUUCUUUGCUCCCUGCUGCUCAUCUUUGGUAUUCCAAGCAAAGCCACGUGUCCUGAUCUUAGGACCUUGCAUAUUUCACCCCUCAUCAGAGUUGAUAAAACAUAUUGCUUCCAUGCAACAAUCACAACACGCUUGAUAGCAGAUGCCAAAAUUCUUUCCAAAAUUUGUUCUUUCUAAAAUAAUAAUCAUUCUAUAUUUAAAAUAGUGAAACACGUUAUUAAAUUAGGAAACUAAUUUAAUACUUACCAUAGGUGUGUAGGAAGAAUCAAGGCAGAUCGGGAAAUGGAGGUAUCAAAACAGAGAAGUCGUCGGUGGGGUGGGGGUCGACGGCACGGUGGACGAACUCCAGGGCUCAGCGGUGACUCGGCGGCGGACGAACCGCAAGCUCAGCGGCGACUAUUUCGCCGGAGUCUAGAAGAAGGAACGACAACGGGUUAUAGAAAAAAGAAAUCUUAGGACUCUUGUAUUAAUUGCUUCGAAUGGAGAAUUCUCAUGGGUUUAAGAAGUGGAAACAGAAUCGAACUAAUUAAGGAAUGGAAGAGGGAGUCAGAGAUGAGGCGGAGCAACGCCGCCCUUAGGACGACGACGACGCUUGAAUUUAGAGGGAGAGAGAGGCGGGCAGUUUAAGGGGGAAUUAGGGCUCGAUUUGAGUGUGCAAUCGACUUUAGAGAGAGAAAAUGAUUGAGAGAAGAGAGAGACAGUGAAGGGGGAGGCGACGCCGACUGAAUUCAGGGACGGCGGCGAUAGGGUGAGGAAGAGGGAGGCGUG
rnacentral:lncRNA from 1 species